CGGAAGGGCGGGUGCUAUACAUGCAAGUCGAGCGGACAGAAGGGAGCUUGCUCCCGGAUGUUAGCGGCGGACGGGUGAGUAACACGUGGGUAACCUGCCUGUAAGACUGGGAUAACUCCGGGAAACCGGAGCUAAUACCGGAUAGUUCCUUGAACCGCAUGGUUCAAGGAUGAAAGACGGUUUCGGCUGUCACUUACAGAUGGACCCGCGGCGCAUUAGCUAGUUGGUGAGGUAACGGCUCACCAAGGCGACGAUGCGUAGCCGACCUGAGAGGGUGAUCGGCCACACUGGGACUGAGACACGGCCCAGACUCCUACGGGAGGCAGCAGUAGGGAAUCUUCCGCAAUGGACGAAAGUCUGACGGAGCAACGCCGCGUGAGUGAUGAAGGUUUUCGGAUCGUAAAGCUCUGUUGUUAGGGAAGAACAAGUGCAAGAGUAACUGCUUGCACCAUGACGGUACCUAACCAGAAAGCCACGGCUAACUACGUGCCAGCAGCCGCGGUAAUACGUAGGUGGCAAGCGUUGUCCGGAAUUAUUGGGCGUAAAGGGCUCGCAGGCGGUUUCUUAAGUCUGAUGUGAAAGCCCCCGGCUCAACCGGGGAGGGUCAUUGGAAACUGGGAAACUUGAGUGCAGAAGAGGAGAGUGGAAUUCCACGUGUAGCGGUGAAAUGCGUAGAGAUGUGGAGGAACACCAGUGGCGAAAGCGACUCUCUGGUCUGUAACUGACGCUGAGGAGCGAAAGCGUGGGGAGCGAACAGGAUUAGAUACCCUGGUAGUCCACGCCGUAACGAUGAGUGCUAAGUGUUAGGGGGUUUCCGCCCCUUAGUGCUGCAGCUAACGCAUUAAGCACUCGCUGGGGAGUACGUCGCAGACUGAAACUCAAAGAUGACGGGGCCGCACAGCGGUGGAGCAUGUGGUUAUCGAGCACGCGAAGAACUUACAGUCUUGACAUCUCUGACACCUAAGAUAGGCUUUCUCGGGACGAUGACAGGUGGUGCAUGUGCGUCACCUCGUUCUGGAAUGUGGGUA
rnacentral:rRNA from 1 species